rnacentral:misc_RNA from 1 species
GCCCGAUUUAAAAAGGACCUAUAGAUUGCACAACCUUUCAAUCACAUUCCUUCAGUAAUUCCAUCUAUGUCAUUGCAAGAACUCUUUGACCUUGCCCCAAAACACUCAUAUGGAGAAUUUACAUCCUGCAUGUUUCAUUCAUUGACUCUGCAUUCCUCUUGCUGAACUUACAGUGCAAAUAUUUAUAUGCAACUCAACGAUCAAGACAGCAAUUACAGGCUCAAUGCCAAUUAUUAUUUCUUUCUCUGUAAUUGGAAAAGCAACUUAAGGCUACACAACUGUUAAUAAUAUUCCUUUCCAUUAAUAUUUUUAACUGGUACCUCUUUCCCUCGUGCAAACUACCACAUACUCUCCCAAUGCUAGAAGGCAUCAUAUGCACAUUUUGGAUUCAAAAGCUCCAUACUGGAAAUGACAGCUCUAAAUAAUUUAUCAUUCACUCCUUAACAAACAAUCACAAAGAAAAGCCAGCAUAUUGCAAAACUAUGAAACAUGCCUGUUCCUUGAAAAUAACAGUUG